rnacentral:tRNA from 1 species
GUUUUAAUAGUUUUAUAAAAAUAUUGGUCUUGUAAACCAAAGAUAAGUAUUAGCUUUUAAAACU